UGCAAACUCCGAAUACCAGUAAGUACUAUCCGGGAGACACACGGCGGGUGCUAACGUCCGUCGUGGAGAGGGAAACAACCCAGACCGCCAGCUAAGGUCCCAAAGUAUUGCUAAGUGGGAAACGAUGUGGGAAGGCUCAGACAGCUAGGAUGUUGGCUUAGAAGCAGCCAUCAUUUAAAGAAAGCGUAAUAGCUCACUAGUCGAGUCGGCCUGCGCGGAAGAUGUAACGGGGCUAAGCAAUACACCGAAGCUGCGGCAAUGUCUUUUAGACAUUGGGUAGGGGAGCGUUCUGUAAGCCGUUGAAGGUGAAUCGUAAGGUUUGCUGGAGGUAUCAGAAGUGCGAAUGCUGACAUGAGUAACGACAAAGGGGGUGAAAAACCUCCUCGCCGGAAGACCAAGGGUUCCUGUCCAACGUUAAUCGGGGCAGGGUGAGUCGACCCCUAAGGUGAGGCCGAAAGGCGUAAUCGAUGGGAAACGGGUUAAUAUUCCCGUACUUCUGACUAUUGCGAUGGGGGGACGGAGAAGGCUAGGUGGGCCAGGCGACGGUUGUCCUGGUUCAAGUGCGUAGGCUUGAGAGUUAGGUAAAUCCGGCUCUCUCUAAGGCUGAGACACGACGUCGAGCUACUACGGUAGUGAAGUCAUUGAUGCCAUGCUUCCAGGAAAAGCCUCUAAGCUUCAGAUAGUCAGGAAUCGUACCCCAAACCGACACAGGUGGUCGGGUAGAGAAUACCAAGGCGCUUGAGAGAACUCGGGUGAAGGAACUAGGCAAAAUGGUACCGUAACUUCGGGAGAAGGUACGCUCUUGAUGGUGAAGUCCCUCGCGGAUGGAGCUGACGAGAGUCGCAGAUACCAGGUGGCUGCAACUGUUUAUUAAAAACACAGCACUGUGCAAAAUCGCAAGAUGACGUAUACGGUGUGACGCCUGCCCGGUGCCGGAAGGUUAAUUGAUGGGGUUAGCGCAAGCGAAGCUCUUGAUCGAAGCCCCGGUAAACGGCGGCCGUAACUAUAACGGUCCUAAGGUAGCGAAAUUCCUUGUCGGGUAAGUUCCGACCUGCACGAAUGGCGUAAUGAUGGCCACGCUGUCUCCACCCGAGACUCAGUGAAAUUGAAAUCGCUGUGAAGAUGCAGUGUACCCGCGGCUAGACGGAAAGACCCCGUGAACCUUUACUACAGCUUGGCACUGAACAUUGAACCUACAUGUGUAGGAUAGGUGGGAGGCUAUGAAGACGUGACGCCAGUUGCGUUGGAGCCGUCCUUGAAAUACCACCCUUGUAUGU
rnacentral:rRNA from 1 species